AGGAUCAUUAUUGAAUGAACUUGGCGUGGUUGUUGCUGGCCUUCUCGGGGGCAUGUGCACACCUGUCAUCUCCAUCUCUCCACUUGUGCACCUCUUGUAGACCUGGAAUAGACUAUCCGAGGCAACUCGGUAGGGAGGAAUGCUGUCGUUUUGCGUCGGCUUUCUUUGCACUUCCAGGCCUAUGUUUUUCAUAUACCCAUAGCAUGUAACAGAAUGUAUCAUUUAGGCCUCAGUGCCUAUAAACCAUAUACAACUUUCAGCAACGGAUCUCUUGGCUCUCGCAUCGAUGAAGAACGCAGCGAAAUGCGAUAAGUAAUGUGAAUUGCAGAAUUCAGUGAAUCAUCGAAUCUUUGAACGCACCUUGCGCUCCUUGGUAUUCCGAGGAGCAUGCCUGUUUGAGUGUCAUUUAAUUCUCAACCUUAUUAGCUUUUGCUGAUAAUGGCUUGGAUGUGGGGGUUCUCUUUUGCUGGCUUCUUUCACAGAGGUCAGCUCCCCUGAAAUGCAUUAGCUGGUGCCCCGCGUGGACUGUCUAUUUGGUGUGAUAAUUAUCUACGCCGUGGAUGUCUGCAAUUGGGUUUGGCGCUGCUUCUAACUGUCUGUUCAUUUGGACAAUCCAUGACAAUUUGACCU
rnacentral:rRNA from 1 species